UACGUAGGGGGCAAGCGUUGUCCGGAAUUAUUGGGCGUAAAGCGCGCGCAGGCGGCUUUGUAAGUUUGGUGUUUAAUCUCAGAGCUCAACUCUGAUUCGCAUCGAAAACUGCAAGGCUUGAGUACAGAAGAGGAAAGUGGAAUUCCACGUGUAGCGGUGAAAUGCGUAGAUAUGACUCGGAAGGCCAACGGCGAAGGCGGGUAACUGGCACGCAACUGACACUGAGGCACGAAAGCGUGGGGAGCAAACAGG
rnacentral:rRNA from 1 species